GAUGAACGCUGGCGGCGUGCCUAAUACAUGCAAGUCGAGCGAAUGGAUUAAGAGCUUGCUCUUAUGAAGUUAGCGGCGGACGGGUGAGUAACACGUGGGUAACCUGCCCAUAAGACUGGGAUAACUCCGGGUAACCGGGGCUAAUACCGGAUAACAUUUUGAACCGCAUGGUUCGAAAUUGAAAGGCGGCUUCGGCUGUCACUUAUGGAUGGACCCGCGUCGCAUUAGCUAGUUGGUGAGGUAACGGCACACCAAGGCAACGAUGCGUAGCCGGCCCGAGAGGGUGAUCGGCCACACUGGGACUGGGACACGGCCCAGACUCCUACGGGAGGCAGCAGUAGGGAAUCUUCCGCAAUGGACGAAAGUCUGACGUAGCAACGCCGCGUGAGUGAUGAAGGCUUUCGGGUCGUAAAACUCUGUUGUUAGGGAAGAACAAGUGCUAGUUGAAUAAGCUGGCACCUUGACGGUACCUAACCAGAAAGCCACGGCUAACUACGUGCCAGCCGCCGCAGUAA
rnacentral:rRNA from 1 species